CCAAGAAGAGGAAAAAAAAUAGAAAAACAAAAAAAAGACUAAAACGGCCGGGAGUCUAGCGCCUUCCCAGGGUGCGUCCUUAACUGGAGACUCCAUAGCCGGCUCCUCCGCCUUCCCAGGGCCUCG